UUGACCAACGACAACAUGCACUUCAAAGGGUGCGGGAAGCUGCUAAGAAGGCUAAAUGUGAACUCUCCUCAUCUGUGCAGACUGACAUCAACUUGCCAUAUCUUACGAUGGAUGCUUCUGGACCCAGACAUUUGAAUAUGAAGUUGACUCGUGCCCAAUUUGAGGGGAUCGUCACUGAUCUAAUCAGGAGGACUAUUGUUCCAUGCCAAAAAGCUAUGCAAGAUGCAGAAGUCAGCAAGAGUGACAUAGGAGAAGUGAUUCUUGUUGUCAGGAUGACUAGGAUGCCUAAGGUUCAGCAGACCAUGCAGGAUCUCUUUGGCCAAGCCCCAAGUAAAGCUGUGGAUCCUGAUGAGGCUGUGGCCAUUGGAGCUGCCAUUCAGGGAGGUGUGUUGGCCGGUGAUGUCACAGAUGUGCUGCUCCUGGACGUCACUCCCCUAUCUCUGGGUAUUGAGACUCUGGGAGGUGUCUUUACCAAGCUUAUUAAUAGGAACACCACUAUUCCAACCAAGAAGAGCCAGGUGUUUUCUACAGCUGCUGAUGGACAGACUCAAGUGGAGAUUAAAGUAUGUCAGGGUGAGAGAGAGAUAGCUGGAGACAAUAAACUUCUGGGACAGUUUACUUUGAUUGGAAUUCCCCCAGCCCCUCGUGGAGUCCCACAGAUUGAAGUUACAUUUGAUAUUGAUGCCAAUGGGAUCGUACAUGUUUCUGCAAAAGAUAAGGGCACAGGAUGUGAGCAGCAGAUUGUAAUCCAGUCUUCUGGUGGGUUAAGCAAAGAUGAUAUUGAAAAUAUGGUCAAAAAUGCAGAGAAGUAUGCUGAGGAAGAUCAACAAAAGAAGGAAUGAGUUGAAGCAGUUAAUAUGGCUGAAAGAAUCAUUCAUGACACAGAAACCAAGAUGGAAGAAUUCAAGGACCAAUUGCCUGCUGAUGAGUGCAACAAGCUAAAAGAGAGAUUUCCAAAAUGAGAGAGAUCUGGCCAGAAAAGACAGCGAAACAGGAGAAAACAUUAAGCAGGCAGCAUCCUCCCUUCAACAGGCAUCACUGAAGCUCUUUGAAAUGGCAUACAAAAAGAUGGCAUCUGAGCGAGAAGGCUCUGGAAGUUCUGGCACUGGGGAACAAAAGGAAGAUCAAAAGGAGGAGAAACAGUAGUAAAUUUUGGAGCCAAAAGGACAACAUGAAGCUUGGGAGU